GACGUAGGAUGCAAGCGUUGUCCGGAUUUAUUGGGCGUAAAGAGUUCGUAGGUGGUUCGUUAAGUCUGGUGUAAAAGACUGGGGCUCAACCCUGGGAUCGCACUGGAUACUGGCGGACUGGAGUGUGGUAGAGGCAAGCGGAAUUCCCAGUGUAGCGGUGAAAUGCGUAGAUAUUGGGAAGAACACCCGUGGCGAAGGCGGCUCUCUGGGACGGUACUGACGCUGAGACGCGAAAGCGUGGGGAGCGAACAGG
rnacentral:rRNA from 1 species